rnacentral:lncRNA from 1 species
GAGGUCGCCCUUGAGGAGCGUCACGCCGGCGUCCUGGAAGCUCUUGAGCAGCGCCGCCUUGGCCGGAUUGGACGGCGCCGUGUCCCUGACGAGCGCGAAGGUCGGGUGGCCCAGCCGCGCGCUCGCCGCCACGACGUGCCUGCCCAGGUACCCGGUGGCGCCGACCACCAGGAUCUUGCUCUUCUCCGACGCCAUCCUGUGUCACUACCCGACAGAACCUCAGAAACUCGCUUGGCGUCUGAUUGGCAUCCAGCGCCACUGUAUAUAAUGGUCUGAUCGAGUAUCACAUUCACAGCUGGUUCCAUCGAUAUUUUGUUUCGUCGACUGAUGGUUGUGGUGAAGCGUGAACCUGGUUGUGUUUCCGGACUUGGACAUUAUGGGCCGAAACCUUGGUGUCGUCAUUGUUCAAGGAUGACGACAUUUGUGUUUGGCCUACUUUUUCGGAAUUGCUAUAUUGUGCCCGAGUAUCUUGCUCUCUUCCACCCACUUCAAAACUUUUCUCUUCGCCCUAUCACCAAUUCUAGCGAGAUUUUCUGUCUCCUCCGCCUCCGUUGUGUUAGCGAUAUCGGGAUAUUUUUACAACACGGUUGGAAAUCUGGGGAUGAACAAAAAUUUAUGUAAGAAGAAAUAAAAAAGAGAAAUCGGUGCAUGAAGAGAAAUUUUAAAUUACCAUUGUGGGCUUGUGGACACGGACGGGGAGUGGAUGCUCUUUUUAAACUUGGAUGUGGUUAGAGUUGGACCAAUUUUAUGCCUAAAGCAGUGGUCAUUUUUUUCAUUUCUUUCUCUCCUCUGCACUGGGAAAUUAUUCCACUAACAAAGACAACAUUGAGUAGAGUUCAUCAACAAAAAUGGCAAAAUUUGAUAAUGUUUAGUAGUCAGGCGUCUUCAACUAAGGUAACUUCCCGUCAACUGUGGCCGAGUCCAUGGUCGGCAAAAGCAAAAUUUGGCCAGAUCCGCUCAGCCUAAUUUGGAAUUCUGGAUAGAGCUUGGGGGCUAAUGAUGAGUGAUGAUAAUGAAAUAAGCGUCAAAGAAAGGUUUUAGAUUGCUCAAUUCAAGAUCAAGUUCGUACUGUCGAGUCUUAUUAGCAUACACAUCAUCCCGACGAAUUGAUCUACUUGUAUACGAGUAGGAGUUCAUAACCGACUACGACAACAAAAGUGGUUCUCGAUCGGUAUAUGUACGCAUCAUGGGGCGAUGUACGAGACACAUAAGCUUUUGGGCUUUUGGGUUGCAUCUUGACCUAAAUACCAAAUUGUUUGUGCUCACGGUAAUAGAAAAAACUCUUAUACUCAAAUCAUGAGGCCUGAACCUGUAUAAAUCGCCCGCGUGCUAUUCCGGUUCUUGACGCAUCUUAAUAUUGAUCGUGAUCUUAUAUUGACACAUCAUUCCUUGUCGACUUAGAUCACCAAUCCUUGACAAUUUAAAUUACCAAAAAUGAUGAAAAUUACAAGGUGCAUAUUGUUCUCGUCUCGUCCUUCAGAGGAACCUGUUGAGGUACUCGUCGACGGUGGUGUACUUAACGUCCGGGUACAGCUCGCUUGCGUCCACCCCCUUGGCCGGGUCGAUCUCGAAGCCGGCCUCCUCCUCCCCCUUCACGUACGCCGCGUGCCCGAUCGCCAAGAUCAUGUUCAGCGGCAUCGCCGCCUCUUCAGCUGAAUGAAAUGAAUUGCAUAUUUUAAUUAACCACGCAUCCACAGUGAUAUAGAUUCAGAUGUUAUCCCCCGACAGUCCGACACCAUGAUCGAUCGAGCCAACAAGGCACUGACCUUCUUGGGUCUGCUUGAGCACGGCGUCCACGGGGAUGUACUCCCGCUGCAACGCCUUGCCGGUCUUCUUCUCCCACAGCGACAGAAGCUCGUCGCGCGACAGCGUGUUGGCCGGCGGCCUGAUGUGCAGCGUCUUGUUCUCGGCGCGCGGGUUGCCGGCGGCCAGCACCGUGUUCGUCGCGAUGUCCCCCUCGUCCACGAACGGCACUCUGGUGUCGCCGUCGCCGAGGAUGACGGCCUUGUCCUCUCCCUGCCCGAUCCCGAUGGAGGGGAGCGCGAGGGCUGCCAAGUACCCGGCGACGGCGUAGGUGUAGGGGAUGCCCACGGCCUCGGUGGCGCGGCGGACGGCGGCCUUGCCGGACAAGAGGGACUUGUGCGGCUCCACGUCCACGACGCCCGUCCGCGCCACGUCCAGGCCGAACUCCGCCGGGUCCUCAGGGGUGUUUGGAUACACCACCUAAAGUUUAGCAUGUGUCACAUCGGAUCUUUGGAUAGUAAUUAUGAGUAUUAAACAUAGUUUAAUUAUAAAACUAAUUGCACAGAUGGAGUCUAAUUCGCGAUAUGAAUCUAUUAAGGGCCUGUUUGGACGCGAGGUCAUAAAGUUUAUGACAUGUCACAUCGGAUGUUUAGAUACUGAUUAGAAGUAUUAAAUAUAAUCUAAUUACAAAACUAAUUACACAUAUGGAGUCUAAUUUGCGAGACGAAUCUAUUAAGCCUAAUUAGUCCAUGAUUUGACAAUGUGGUGCUACAGUAACCAUUUGCUAAUGAUGGAUUAAUUAGGCUUAAUAGAUUCGUCUCGCGAAUUAGUUUUAUAAUUAGCUCAUGUUUAGUCCUCCUAAUUAGCGUCCGAACAUCCGAUGUGACCCCUCCUAAAGUUUAGUACCUUGUAUCCAAACACCCCCUAAGCCUAAUUGGUCCAUGAUUUGACAAUAUGGUGCUAUAAUAACCAUUUGCUAAUGAUGGAUUAAUUAGGCUUAAUAGAUUCGUCUCACGAAUUAGCUCAGUAGUUCUGCAAUUAGUUUUAUAAUUAGCUCACAUUUAGUCCUCCUAAUUAGCAUCCGAACAUCCUAUGUGCUAAAGUUUAGCACCUAGUAUCUAAAUAUCACUCUUAGAGAUAAGUAUCCUAGGUUGUUUACGAACAGAAGUUAAGUAAGAAUGGAUUCUAUCCAUAAGGAUCCAAUCCGAGUUGUCUUAGUCAUGAAGUCAAAGAUUCCCGAUAUAAUUGAGGGAUAUGGACUCAUUGAAAAUAAAAAAGAAAGCAAUUAUAUUUCCCUCGAUCACUCUCCCUUUGUUCAAGCGCUGCAACCCCCCCCCCCCCCCCCCCCCCCCAACACACACACACACACCCACACACCACAAACUAGGACUGUAACAUGGUGGAGGAGCGAGCGUCGAUAAGUGGCGCGAGCAAGAGAUGGUGGCAGGCGGUGAUAGGGUUCACAGAGGAGGAAAAAGGCUGCACGCAAGAUCAGACGGCUAAUCUCAAAUAUCGGAAGUCUCUCUUCUUCUGGAAGAUCAUAGGAUCCGGAAGCCGACCGAUCAACCAGGAGAUUACUUAACAAAUGGACCGUCCAUUACAAAAGUCGUGGUACAUACCAAUGCAACAAACUGGAUCACGAAAGGGAUCGGAUCUUAUUGGCGUGGAAUUGACGGGACCUGGCCAGUGCAGGUACCCUCGAUCGAUCAGAGACACAUGGUACUAUCGCGCAUGCUGUGCUUCAGCAGUACAGGUGACAGUAGGCAAAGCACCAACAACCAACCACACGUCACGCGCGCCGUCUUCUUCAAAGGAACCUGUUGAGGUACUCAUCGACGGUGGUGUACUUGACGUCGGGGUACAGCUCGCUUGCGUCCACCCCCUUCGCCGGAUCGAUCUCGAAGCCUGCCUGCUCCCCCCUCACGUACGCCGCGUGCCCGAUCGCCAGGAUGAUGUUCAGCGGCAUCGGCGACUCUGCACCAGAAAGAAACAAUUGUUAACCACGCCAUCGAUUCCACGAUGAUCGAUCGAGGCAGCAAGGCACGUUCUGACCUUGGAUCUGCUUGAGCACGGCUUCCUCGGGGAUGUACACGCGCUCGAACGUCUUGCCGGUCUUCUUCUCCCACAGGUCCACGAGCUCGUUGUGCGACAGCGUGUUGGCCGGCGGCUUGAUGUACAGCGUCUUGUUCUCGGCGCGGGGGUCGUCGGCGGCGAGCACCGUGUACGUCCCGAUGUCGCCUUCCUCCACGAACACGGCCUUGGCGUUGCCGUCGCCGAGGAUGAGCACCUUGUCGGCGGGGGGUCCCUGGGCGAGCAGCUGCCCGACGCUGGGCAGCGCGUAUCCCGCGAAGUACCCGGCCACGGCGAAGGUGUAGGGGAUGCCGGACGCCUCGGUGGCGCGCCGGAUCGCCACCUUGCCGGACAGGAUGGUCUUGCCCGGCUCCACGAUGCCCGUUCUGUCCACGUCCAGCCCGAACUCCGACGGGAAGAACCUCUGCAUAUCCAUCUCAUUUAGCUUUUUAUCUAGUGACAACGAGCAUGCCGGAAGAAAGACAUUGAUGGCGGCAUUCAUGAGAAGGCGCUCAAGCAAGAACAAAUUAAAGAAAAAGGAAGGACCUUGACAUUGCCGGCCUCCUUGAUGGCGUCGAUGAGCCUGGUCUGGUCGGCGAUCUGCAUCGACCCCAGCGUGGAGAUGACCACGUCGGCGGCCUUGACGGCGCUCACCAGGCUGGCCUGGUCGUAGAGGUCGCCCUUGAGGAGCGUCACGCCGGCGUCCUGGAAGCUCUUGAUCAGCGCCGCCUUGGCCGGGUCGGACGGCGCCGUGUCCCUGACGAGCGCGAGGGUCGGGUGGCCCAGCCGCGCGCUCGCCGCGACGACGUGCCGGCCCAGGUACCCGGUGGCGCCGACCACCAGGAUCUUGCUCUUCUCCGACGCCAUCCUGAUUGCUACUUACUGACGAGUGAGCUUGCUAUCAACGAGCUGAUCGGCCUGCCAAGUACUCGCUCAGUCUGCGCUGCAAAUCUCGUC